GGUCCCUAAUUAACCUGAGAGUUGCUCUGCCUUUGAGGUCCCUAAUUAACCUGAGAGUUGCUCUGCCUUUGAGGUCCCUAAUUAACCUGAGAGUUGCUCUGCCUUUGAGGUCCCUAAUUAACCUGAGAGUUGCUCUGCCUUUGAGGUCCCUAAUUAACCUGAGAGUUGCUCUGCCUUUGAGGUCCCUAAUUAACCUGAGAGUUGCUCUGCCUUUGAGGUCCCUAAUUAACCUGAGAGUUGCUCUGCCUUUGAGGUCCCUAAUUAACCUGAGAGUUGCUCUGCCUUUG